rnacentral:rRNA from 1 species
CCUASGGGGCGCAGCAGGGGCGAAACUUUACAAUGCGGGAAMCCGUGAUAAGGGGACACCRAGUGUCAGCAUCAUAUGCUGGCUGUCCAGGUGUGUAAAAUACACCUGUUAGCAAGGGCCGGSCAAGACCGGUGCCAGCCGCCGCGGUAACACCGGCGGCCCGAGUGGUGAUCGUGAUUAUUGGGUCUAAAGGGUCCGUAGCCGGUUUGGUCAGUCCUCCGGGAAAUCUGAUAGCUCAACUAUUAGGCUAUCGGGGGAUACUGCCAGGCUUGGAACCGGGAGAGGUAAGAGGUACUACAGGGGUAGGAGUGAAAUCUUGUAGUCCCUGUGGGACCACCUGUGGCGAAGGCGUCUUACCAGAACGGGUUCGACGGUGAGGGACGAAAGCUGGGGGCACGAACCGGAUUAGAUACCCGGGUAGUCCCAGCCGUAAACGAUGCUCGCUAGGUGUCAGGCAUGGCGCGACCGUGUCUGGUGCCGCAGGGAAGCCGUGAAGCGAGCCACCUGGGAAGUACGGCCGCAAGGCUGAAACUUAAAGGAAUUGCGGGGGAGCAC